CGCCAGCUAAGCCAUCUAGAUGGCCUGGGCAAUGGCGGUCUCAGGCACUCCACAGUCGGUGCCAGUUCAGCACUGUGUUAACGGGUAUAUUCCUGGGCUCGCCUCUGUUGGCCAUCUCGAUGGCCUAUGGCAGCCCACAUAUGGCAGCCUCUGGCCAUCUCCCUCGGAGAUGGCUUAGCGGUGCUAAUAAGCAGUCUUGUGCUAAUCGGCGGCCGUCGGUUCCUCGGCAGAGGCGUCUGCGCAUGCGCACUUGGCAACAUACUAUCGUUUUUCUCAUUUACCGUAGUCGUCGCCCCGCAGGCUCCGCGCUCCGCAGUUGAUUUCGAGUUUUCGACUCGUCGACGUUUGCGAAUUUAGUGAGAAAAGAUUGCAGAUACGCCUAUUUCAAUCAAGAUGAGGUGUUUCAGUUAAAUGAUCCAGCAGGCGGCGGACGCUGUAGCUGCCGAGUGGUGGAAUCACGAAGAAAUGGCAGGCUGCCUGCCAAUCGGCGACGAAUCAGCCGUCACUGCUGCACGGGAUGGAUGAUAACGAGAGGCAACGGUCCUGGCCGUUGAAGGGAAAGCGACUAUCGUUGUUCCACCGGUGACAGAUGAACUUUGGGCGACCGAAAGGCGCAGGUAGUAGUCCCGUGUCACGUGGCAUAUAAGCACAGCUGUAUGAGUCAUUUAACCUCUUCUUCGACGUAAGUGCCCGUGCCGAGCUGCUUUAUGCAGACGAUCAUUACGCGUGAUCAUUACACACACGUGUUACAGCUGUGUGUGACGGUGCACCGCUUAGAUGUUUCUGUGGUUUCCUGACUGGUUGAAUGCGCGACUUUGAGUGUAGAUAACCCACCUGCUGUCGGAAUGCCGCGGUACGUCAAUGGGCCGUUUGAGUGUCUGCUGUUCGUGCUCUGCGGGCGAGAGGGCCGUUGCGUCGGAGCUGACGGAAGUUUUUUUUUGCGUAUUAGUGUACAGUGAUAUGCGAUAUUGGUCAAAUAUAAAGUCAAAUCUGA